rnacentral:rRNA from 1 species
GACGAACGCUGGCGGCGUGCUUAACACAUGCAAGUCGAACGGAAAGGCCCUGCUUUUGUGGGGUGCUCGAGUGGCGAACGGGUGAGUAACACGUGAGUAACCUGCCCUUGACUUUGGGAUAACUUCAGGAAACUGGGGCUAAUACCGGAUAGGAGCUCCUGCUGCAUGGUGGGGGUUGGAAAGUUUCGGCGGUUGGGGAUGGACUCGCGGCUUAUCAGCUUGUUGGCGGGGUAGUGGCUUACCAAGGCUUUGACGGGUAGCCGGCCUGAGAGGGUGACCGGCCACAUUGGGACUGGGAUACGGCCCAGACUCCUACGGGGGGCAGCAGUGGGGAAUAUUGCACAAUGGGCGGAAGCCUGAUGCAGCAACGCCGCGUGCGGGAUGACGGCCUUCGGGUUGUAAACCGCUUUCGCCUGUGACGAAGCGUGAGUGACGGUAAUGGGUAAAGAAGCACCAGCUAACUACGUG